rnacentral:rRNA from 1 species
UCUUACGGCUAUUCACACCAGAAAGCACCAUGUCCCUUCAGAUUUUUAAAGUUAAGCUGGUGAUGGCUUCAUCAGUACUGUGGUGGAGGACCACUCGUGAAUACGACGUGCCGCAAGUA